ACCCCGACCUACUGACAUCGCCAACCCCUAAGCCCAACACCGUCCGAUAUCGGGCCAAACAGUUAAGGCCCAACCAGGCGUGGAUGAGAGGCUGCCUGAGACGCGCACACGCCACAACACCCCGU
rnacentral:misc_RNA from 1 species